rnacentral:SRP_RNA from 1 species
GAUUCGGACCCAUGCAGUCACAACGCCUAAACCUUGUCAGGACCGGAAGGUAGCAGCAAUACGGGAUGCUUGUGACAGGCUUGGAAUCCGGAUCUUU